rnacentral:rRNA from 1 species
UACAGAGGGUGCGAGCGUUAAUCGGAUUUACUGGGCGUAAAGCGUACGUAGGCGGCUUUUUAAGUCGGAUGUGAAAUCCCUGAGCUUAACUUAGGAAUUGCAUUCGAUACUGGGAAGCUAGAGUAUGGGAGAGGAUGGUAGAAUUCCAGGUGUAGCGGUGAAAUGCGUAGAGAUAUGGAGGAAUACCGGUGGCGAAGGCGGCCCCCUGGACAAAGACUGACGCUCAGGUGCGAAAGCGUGGGGAGCAAACAGG